rnacentral:ncRNA from 1 species
CGACCCCAGGUCAGGCGGGACUACCCGCUGAGUUUAAGCAUAUAAAUAAGCGGAGGAGAAGAUACUUACAAGGAUUCCCCUAGUAACGGCGAGCGAACCGGGACCAGCCCAGCUUGAGAAUCGGGCGGCUGUGCCGUCCGAAUUGUAGUCUGGAGAGGCGUCCUCAGCGACGGACCAGGCCCAAGUCCCCUGGAAAGGGGCGCCUGGGAGGGUGAGAGCCCCGUCCGGCCCGGACCCUGUCGCCCCACGAGGCGCCGUCAACGAGUCGGGCUGUUUGGGAAUGCAGCCCAAAUCGGGCGGUAGACUCCGUCCAAGGCUAAAUACAGGCGAGAGACCGAUAGCGAACAAGUACCGCGAGGGAAAGAUGAAAAGGACUUUGAAAAGAGAGUCAAAGAGUGCUUGAAAUUGCCGGGAGGGAAGCGGAUGGGGGCCGGCGAUGCGCCCCGGCCGUAUGCGGAACGGCUCUUGCU